GCCUGCAGCCAUAACGACUGCUUCUGUGAUCCUUUCAGUUCCCACAAACUGAGCAGGGUAAGGCCAGGUCAGUACUUGCAUGGGAGAACUCCAAGGAGAAAAGCUGCAGGAA
rnacentral:rRNA from 1 species